UGCGUAUCUAAUAUAUACGAGCAUUUUAUGCAGAUAAAAAUAAAGAAAAUACCAUUCAAAAACAAAGAUGGAAUAUUUAAGUUAUUUUUGUAUGUCCAAAGUUUUAGCAUUAACCAGUUGGUCGCUUGGUAAAGUAUCAUUUACUACUUUGAAGCACUUUGAAGUCCCAUAUAUCCAAUUUUUCAGCAGUCCAGGCCUAGCCAGGUCUGUUAAAUUCCAACCUUCAACAUUCCAUUUGAUCUCACCAUGGAUGUUGGCCAGCCUAUGGAGGCUAUAAAAGUUGACAUUGCUAAAAAAUAUCUUGUGUGAUUUGUAGGUUAGUUCAAAUUAAUCUCACCAAGUUUUUAGCAAAAAUAUACAAUUAUUUUUUAAUGUCAUUUUCUAACCAUUAAUUACUACAUAAAUGUCCAUUCCAGGCCUAACUAUAUAUU
rnacentral:lncRNA from 1 species